rnacentral:rRNA from 1 species
UAUUGGACAAUGGGGGCAACCCUGAUCUAGCGACGCCGCGUGUGUGAAGAAGUAUUUCGGUAUGUAAAGCUCUAUCAGCAGGGAAGAUAAUGACAGUAACUGACUAAGAAGCCCUGACUAACUACGGUAAAGCAGGCGCGGUAAUACGUAGGGGGCAAGCGUUAUCCGGAUUUACGGGGUGUAAAGGGAGCGUAGGUGGCUCGAUAAGUCAUCAGUGAAAGCCCAAGGCUCAACCUUGGGACUGCUUUUGAAACUAUCGAGCUAGAGUGCAGGAGAGGUAAGUGGAAUUCCUAGUGUAGCGGUGAAAUGCGUAGAUAUUAGGAGGAACACCAGUGGCGAAGGCGACUUACUGGACUGUAACUGACACUGAGGCUCGAAAGCGUGGGGAGCAAACAGGA